rnacentral:tRNA from 1 species
GCAUUGAUGGUUCAGUGGUAGAAUCCUCACCUUCCAUAUGGGAGGCCUGGGUUUGAUUCCCGGCCAAUUCA